rnacentral:rRNA from 1 species
CGGCAUGCUUAACACAUGCAAGUCGCACGGUCAGCAAUGGCAGUGGCGGACGGGUGAGUAACGCGUAGGGUAUCUAGUCCUCGGGUGGGGGGACAACCACGGGGAAACUGUGGCUAAUACCGCAUGAUGACUGAGGUCUAAAGGCGCAAGUCGCCUGAGGAGGAGCCUGCGUCCGAUUAGCUAGUUGGUGGGGUAAAAGCCUACCAAGGCUCCCGAUCGGUAGCUGGUCUGAGAGGAUGAUCAGCCACACUGGGACUGAGACACGGCCCAGACUCCUACGGGAGGCAGCAGUGGGGAAUAUUGGACAAUGGGCGCAAGCCUGAUCCAGCAAUGCCGCGUGGAUGAAGAAGGUCUUCGGAUUGUAAAGUCCUUUUGGCAGGGACGAUGAUGACGGUACCUGCAGAAUAAGCUCCGGCUAACUUCGUG